UGCGGGGUAGAGCAGUCUGGUAGCUCGACAGGCUCAUAACCUGUAGGUCGCUCGGUUCAAAUCCGGUCCCCGCAA
rnacentral:tRNA from 9 species